UCGAAAGCCUGUCCCAGUUCGGACUGGAGUCUGCAACCCGACUCCACGAAGUUGGAUUCGCUAGCAAUCGCGCAUCAGCCAUGGCGCGGUGAAUACGUUCCCGGGCCUUGUACACACCGCCCGUCAAGCCAUGGGAGCCGGGGGCGCCUGAAGUCCGGGACCGCGAGGACCGGCCUAGGGCGAAACUGGUAACUGGGGCUAAGUCGUAACAAGGUACC
rnacentral:rRNA from 1 species